rnacentral:lncRNA from 1 species
UUAAAAUCAGGUCUCUCGGAUAUCGAGUCCUGUGCUAUCUCUAAGGCAAAUCCCAAAGUUUUCUCAAUUAUGGUAUGAAACACGAGUGUUUAGGGAGUUCCCAUUGUGGCUCAGUGGUAGUGAACCCAACUGGUAUGCAAGAGGAUGUAGGUUUGAUCCCUAGCCCCCUCAGUAGUUAAGCAUCAGGCAUUGCCUUGAGCUGUGGUAUAGUUUGCAGACACCUGUUGGAUCCCGUGUUGCUGUGGCUGUGGCAUAGGCCAGGAACUGCAGCUCUGAUUCAACCCCUAGCCUGGGAGCUCCCAUAUGACACAGGUUGUGUGGCCCUAAAAAACAAGAAAACAAACAAACAAACAAAAAACCAGGAGUGUUUAAAUGAAUCUAUACUAACACAGAGCAUAAAUGGAAGUAGACUGUCAACAAAUGUUGAGAACAUCGGGAGUUCCACCUGGUACUGUAAGGUUAGCUGGGUUACAUUUGGGACAACACCUGUAGGCCUGCUAUUUUCCCCUAUUCACGGUCUGUCCUCCUGCAUCCUCCCCAUAAUCUUGCCCCAGUGUUAAUGCUUUAUCUCAGUGUCACUACUGUUUGAGUCCCUGUAUUAGAUAUAAGGGGAAAAAAAGUUCUUACGCUUGAGGAGAGGCAACAAGCAAAUAAGCACAGACAAAACAGCAUACCCCUUCCACACCUCCCUAGGAAAAUGGUAAUGGACACAGUCUGGAAGCUUGGAGACCAACUCCCCUACCUACUAAGGAAAACAAUCCACUAACUCUCAUUCAAAAUAAAGUGCAAACAUAUCAGUGAUAAGGUUUGAAAUGUUACCUUUCGUCAGGAGUAUUUCCAGGGUUUAUAUAAAAAAUAUUUAAAGCCCAGAAUGACUUGAAGACCAACUAAUUAAAACAGGAUGAAUUACAGUCCAGAACCCAAAGACCCCUAAAUGGGCUCAAGGUUAGUUUAGCUGUGGGAGCAUGGGAGGUUCCAGAGGUCCAAGAACAGGGCCUAUGGUGGCUAUGGCUUAGAAGUGGGGAUGGAACGGAUGCACUAGGAAGCGCAAGGCAGUGGCUUUAUUUCUGCAGUCAAAGUCAAAAUCUUCCAGUAUAUUCACAACUAAUAAAUUUCUCUAGUGCCAGUGGAAUACCAGCUCUUUUAUUUGCUUUUAGAGGCCAUUCUCUGUUUCUUGUAAGCCUUGCUGAGAUUUUCCCUAAGCUCCCCUGUGAUAUAUCUGACAUCUGUAGGCCACAGAAAGCGGUGCCCCAGGAAUCACUUCACAUGUAUAGCUACCUGCUCUUGAAGUGGGUCAACCACAUAUCAGCAGGACUGACAGAAACCUUAGAAGAUGUUUUCGUGUUAAAAAUUUGGUCAAAGGAGAGCUUUCAACUUGUGAAAACUCCUCAUUUUACUUUAGUGAAAUACUAAUAGAUGCAGCAGUGUUAAAACUUUUUUAUGCUCUAUCCUUGACCAAUCCCUUUCACAGUGUUAUUCCCUUUUCACUUUGACUGUAUGGAUUUUCCAGGGCUGCUAUCACAUCAUCCCCAUUUAACAGACGAGGAAAUGGAAGCACAGGAAGGAUAAUGACUAGUCAUAUUGUUCAGCAGGUGACAAGAGUCAGUGAGUACAGUGAGGGCUUUAGGGUCUGACAAGCUGGAAUUGAAAUCUGUCUCCAACUCUACUGCUAGACAACUUCAAAUGUGUUCUAUUUUAAUCACUUGAGUCUCAAUUCCUCAUUGGUAUAUUAGGGACAUCAGAACUUACCUCUUGAGUUGUCUUGUGGUUUAAAUGAGGCAAAUGUUUGGAAACUACACAGUGCUUGGCACAUAGUAAGCCUCAAUAAAUGGUGGCUACUCUUGUAAAUAAGUCAUUCAGCAACUUCUGACACAAAGGCCUCUUCUUUAACACAUAUCACCCUUUUUUUUACAUCUACUCAUAAUACAGUCGAAAACUCAACCUCCUGGAGUUCUCUGGUGGCUCACUGGGUUAAGGAUCCAGUGUUGUCACUGCAACAGGAAGAAACAAACAAAGUCCUAUUGUAGAAUUAAGACAGAAUCCUGAAAAUUUGAAAUAGCAACCAUUGCUGGUAUAUUCUUUUAGUAUCAAAUGCUGUGUGAUAAUAUUUACAUAGUUUAGUGCCAAUGAAAAAUACUAAGGAAAACAAACACAUAUAAACAAAAAUACUUGCUUCAUGUUUAGAGUUCUAACAUAUGAAUCUCUCCAUUCUACAGAGUAUUACACACACUUGUCAAAUAGAGAACUUGAAACUCCAUAUCAUAGUUGGAUAUUGAUUAAGUUCACAGCCAAACUAUUGAGGCUAGUAAAGUUACAGAGAAUGGUGGUGCACUUAUACAGCACUUCUUUAAGAAGAAGGUUUAUCUUCUUACAUCUUCUUUGUUCAAUAAACCUUUCUACACAAUUUUUCUAUUGGAUUUUCCAAGCCGUCAACCUGUGGACUUUAACUCCUUACCUUUCGUGUGUUUCUUUUUUUGGAGGGGUGGGUGUAUACAUUGGGCAAAAAGAUGAGUUUUUCAUAGUCUCCUGAACCUAAUAAGAUUUGUGUGUAUCUUCAGAAGGUGCAAAUUUCACGGUCUAGGAGGGAAAAUAUUACAUUUGAAAGUCUUUUCUAAGAUGAUUGGAAAAAUUGCCAAAACAAUUCAAGAAUGGUUUGGAAGACAGAGUAUAGGUUAAAAUAGGGAUGUAAUUCUUAUCUCUGUAUUUUAUUUGAGGCAAUCUCCUCCUUGCUCUGUGAGUCAGUAUCAUUUUGCUUUACUCUGAAUUUUAAAAUGUGUACAUAUCCCUUGACACUGUGAAUGCUUCCUGAGUUUCUUGCAUACAGACUUGCUGGUCACUGCUACCAAAAAUUCACUCCCUCUCUGGGUCUCAGCGGUGGUCACUGGUUGACAACUGCUUUAGAAGAGGUGACUUCUCUCACCUCUUCCCAUAGGAGCUCUGCAAGUCUGGAUUUCUCAACCCACCACAACCAUCUGUGAUUAAUUAGUUGUCUAAGUUUAUCGAAAUAAUAGGGCCAGAUACACAAUUCAGUUGUCCCCUGACAUGUAAAAAUACAAGGCUGCUACAAAUUUCAGUGGGUGACAGUACACGAAAUUACUACCUAAAACAAAAAUUCCAUUCUGAAGCAUUCCUGGACUUCCAAAUGUUGGAAUGUCACCCUCCUUUUCAGAGGGAGAGUUUAAAGGUCAAGUGAAAUUUGCAGAAGUGCUGCCAUAUUUACCAUCCCUUAGACCUAGUCCUCCAUUCUAAUUAAAGAGUUAAUCUGUGCAGUUAGCUCCUCCCAAAGUGCAAAUCGUCCUCCGAGAGAGGAUCUUUGAGCCUCUCACCCUCAUUUUUUGCCUCAGAGCCCUGACUAUGUUCUUCCCUGUAUUGGAUUAUGCAUUGGUCCAUUUUAUUUAAAUCCUGGGCGUUCUUCUAAACCCAGGUCAAGCUUUUAUUCCCUGCUAUAGUCCUAACUUCCACCUUCCAUUCUCUGAACACUUAAUGCUUUCACUCAUCAGUUUCACAAAAAAAUCAUUUAAAUGUAUAGCCCCAAAGUGUAGAAUUUAGAAGGAGAGGUAGAUACUACUGGAAACAUUAAUGUAAGGAAAAUUUUCACUCAGAGCAGCCAAAAGGGAAAAAUAGGCCAGCUUGUGAUGUCAGAAUAUUCCUGUCACAGGCUGUAUUUAAGAAUUGGCCAAACAGCGGAUCGGGGAGCCUGAUCUAGAGGGGAUUUGGGUAUUAGAUGGGUUAUUUACAGAACUCUAAGAUCCCUGAGAUUAUGCCAUUUUAUAAUUUUUAAUAGCAUGUAGACUCAAUGAGAAUAGAGAUCUUACCUUACACUGCUUCUGUACCCUAAAAAGCAAGUCAUGUAACAGGGGCUACUUGAUUCUAAAUUGUUUGCUUGCAUUUGUUUUACUAGUUAGUUUCCUCUUACAUCAGGAGGUACAGGGCAGCAAGGAAAACAUUUAGGUGGAGAAGGAGCUUACAAGAAAUGUUACACAAAGCUUACAGCAUAUAUAAAAUAUGCUUAAUUUACAACUCCCUCCUUCAUGUGAUAUCUUUUGUUAUUUUUAAUUCAUAGAGAAAUAUAGUCCAGGCGUUCUUAUUAAGGUGAUGCCAGGUCUGGUUACAGGCAAAAAUAAACAUCUUAAAAUGCAUUCAUAAUAAUAAUAUUUAAAAGAAAUACUUUUCUUUUAUUCUGAAUUAAUAAUUCAGUCUCUGUGGUUUCUUGCUUUUGUUUUUCUAAGGGUGAAAUGAUCAAAAAGAACUCUGCUUGGCCAUACUUUGUUUUUUUAUUUUACUUUUUAAAUUUUUAUUGAAGUAUAGUUGGUUUAUAACAUUUUAGUUUCAGGUGUACAGCAAAGCAUAUAUAUAUUAUAAUAUAUAUAUUACAUACAUAUUAUAAUAUAUACAUGCUUUGUUUUUUUUAAAGAUCUUACUUACACCCUUUCUCAUUUAAUCCUCACAACAGUCUUGUUAGUAAAACAGUCUUGUUGGUUCUUCAAGCUGUCGGUAAAAUAAUACCUUGUCGAUUUUCCAGAGGAAAUUAAGGCUUAAAAAGUUUAAGUGACUCAUCCAAGAUCAUGCAGCCAUUGAUAAAACAUAGUCCUCCUCUUUAGUUUUAGACCCACCAGUUUAAACCAUAAUGCUACUAGAUGCAUAAUGCAAUUAGCAUAUUUGUUUGUUUGUUUACUUAUUUUAGGGCCACAUCUGCAGCAUCUGUAAGUUCCUAGGCUAGGGGCUGAAUCAGAGCUGCAGCUGCUGGCCAAAGCCACAGCCACAGCCACAGCCACAGCAAUGUGGGAUCCGAGCUGCAUUUGUAACGGUAAACCACAGCUCAUAGCAAUGCCGGAUCCUUAACCCACUGAGGGAGGCCAGGGAUAGAACUUGCAUCCUCACAGACACUUUGUCGGUUUCCUAACCAAGUGAGCCACAACAGGAAUUCCCAAUUAGCAUGUUUAUACACUGCAACUCACAAAGGUUUUUAAGUGAGCUUAACCUAGGCAAAAGAGAAAUUUAAAAUACAAAUAGUUUAAUAUGUGAUAUAAAAUUAUUUUCUAUAGCUAAAUGUUACUAGAGUGUGAGACAUAAAUCUGAAUGUGAGGUUUACUGCAUGCACUAAUUUCAAGGAUUAUGGAAAAAAGUGAGGAGAUAUGCUCUUGUUUAAAAAAUCACAGGGCUAUAGAGACAUCUUGUUUUUGAUGUAAGAGAUAGUGUAAAGAAAGAUGCAGAGAAGAAUGUACUUAUACAAAAAAAAUGCAGUAUGUCGAAACUAAGAGUUGUUUAAAAAAAAAUAGUAGAGGGAACCAAGAACAAAAGAUAAAUAAAAGAAUUAAGCAAGAUUAUGAAUUAGCUUUCAUGAAUGAAAAUGAAAGAAUGAAUGAAUAAAAUCAUAGAGAAAUUUUAAACCGAAGUCUCCAAAUACAGAAACUUGGAAGUCACUCUCUCUUAUUCUUCAUAUACAAGAAUGGAUGUUAUGUGCUGGAUAGAGAGCAAGUUCCAGGGUGGAAGGGAUCAGCUGCUUAGGGCUUGACCACUCCUUUCCCUCAGCCGCCCGACACAGUAAGAAACAGGCAGCAGUGUUCGCAAGAGCGGGUAUAUAACCUCACUGAUGUUUUAAGUGGCCAUAAAGAAGCUGGCUGAGCAUGAAAUUUCAUCAUUAAAGUUUAUGCUUUGCGUUGGGGGGAGGGGAGGAGAAACAAAAAUCAAUAUUAGAUAAAAGAGGAGGAGGAGAACAUGAUAACAGCUCAUAUGAGAAAAAAAUGAUGUGGUUCCUAGAAGAUGGUUAAUUUUUAGGGGGAUAAAUGACAUCUGUGAUUUUGAAAGCAGCCUGAGCUGGUGGCUCUUCCCUUCCCUGUGAUCCAGAAUGGAAGAGAAGGAGGGAAAUACCAUAAAGACGCUCUUUUUCUUUCUUUUCUGCUUUUUAGGGCCACACCUGUGGCAUAUUGAGGUUCCCAGGCUAGGGGUCGAAUCAGAGCUACAGCUACCAGCCUACACCACAGCCGCAGCAAUGUAGGGAUCCAAGCUGUGUCUGCAACCUACACCACAGCUCAUGGCAAUGAGUGAGGCCAGGGAUUGAACCCACAUCCUCAUGGAUCUACUCGGAUUCGUUUCCGCUGCUGCGCCACAACAGGAGCUCCAAGAGGUUCUUUUUCUAAACUGAACAUGAUAUGAUAGCUGCUGUUUUGUGAGUUGUGAUGAAAAAAUGCUGACAACCUUUUCUGAACAUAAGGGGAACAGGGUUCCGUUCAAGGAUCUCAGGGAAAAAAGCAUAGUUUGCAUGUAUGUGGUAGUACAAUUAUGUUGAAUUUCUACGGAAAAUCUAUUUUUUAUUUUUUUGUCUUUUUGUCCUUUUAGGGCCACACCUGCGGCAUAUGGAGGUUCCUAGGCUAGGGGUCUAAUUGGAGCUGUAGUCGCUAGCCUACACCACAGCCACAGCAACGUGGGAUCCGAGCCAUGUCUGCAACCUACACCACAGCUCAUGGCAACACCUGUUCCUUAACCCACUGAGCAAGGCCAGGGAUCGAACCCGCAACCUCAUGGUUCCUAGUCGGAUUCAUUAACCACUGAGCCACGACGGGAACUCCCUGCUGGGGAAAUUUAUAUACUUACUCAGAUGACAAAAAUAAAUACCAUUUCUUUAACUUUUGGUACCUACUCCAGUAUUUCUCCCAGUCUUCUCUGUGCUCAGUAGACUGAGGUUAGGGUGGAGUUGGGAAGAGGUGUUAGUGUUUAACCAUUAACAGUCUCUUUGUCUCUUCCAGUCAAAAUGGUCUGUUUUGGACAUCCAUCCAGCUGUCUUUUCGGCAAAUAGUGCCAUUCCCACCACCUUCUCCCACGGCAGCCUCACGUCCCAUUUGGCUGCCAGGUGAGAGGCAGGAAAUAGAGUUUUGAAAUAGGCUUGCAUGUCAACAGUGCGGCUCAUUUCUGUAAUCAAGGGGCUGAUCUGAUCUGGGCUUAGGGCUGGUGACCACAGAUGUACUCUCUGGUCCUGCGUGGCCUUUGACAGCGGUUUGCAAGCAGGUACUACUGGACCCUGCUCCUAGUCAUUUGCUUCUUUAUUCCCACUCUGGGGCUCCAGUAAUUUAUUUGCCCUCAUAGCGCUCUCAGGUCAUUUCACACAAAUGCCUGGGCCCCUUGCAUGCCAGAUAUAAGUUUCAGAGCCUUGUCUCAGAACCAUCUCUCUGGCCAAUUUCUUCGCCAGGCCAUCACCAACUUUCCUGAAAUGGACCAAGGCCUUCCAGCACAGCUCUCUCUUUCCACGAAGGAAAAAAAAAAAAAAAAAAAAAAAAA